UGUUUAACGGCCGCGGUAUUUUAACCGCGCGAAGGUAGCGUAAUCACUUGUCUUUUAAAUGGAGACCUGUAUGAAUGGCAUAACGAGGGUUUGACUGUCUCCUCCACCCAGUCAAUGAAAUUGAUCUGCCCGUGCAGAAGCGGGCAUAAGCACAUAAGACGAGAAGACCCUAUGGAGCUUUAGGCAAAUGACCAGGCAAAACAAGUCACGGCCCUUAAUAAGCCUAGAAAAACAAAAGCUAAUGAUCAAAAUGCCUUCGGUUGGGGCGACCAUGGAGGAAACAAAAUCCUCCAAGCGGAAAGGGACAACCCUUGAACCAAGAGAGACACCUCGAAGUAACAGAAUUUAUGACCAACUAUGACCCAGGAUUUAACCUGAUCAACGGACCUAGUUACCCUAGGGAUAACAGCGCAAUCCUCUCCCAGAGUCCCUAUCGACGAGGGGGUUUACGACCUCGAUGUUGGAUCAGGACAUCCUAAUGGUGCAGCCGCUAUUAAGGGUUCGUUUGUUCAACGAUUAA
rnacentral:rRNA from 1 species